rnacentral:tRNA from 1 species
GAGUCUGAUUGGAUAAGCGAGAACUGCUAAUUACUCGUCCCUAUGGUUCAAUUCCAUAGCAAACUUA